AGUGAACGCUGGCGGUAGGCCUAACACAUGCAAGUCGAACGGCAGCACAGUAAGAUCUUGCUCUUACGGGUGGCGAGUGGCGGACGGGUGAGGAAUACAUCGGAAUCUACUUUUUCGUGGGGGAUAACGUAGGGAAACUUACGCUAAUACCGCAUACGCCCUACGGGUGAAAGCAUGGGAUCUUCGGACCUUGCGCGAUUGAAUGAGCCGAUGUCGGAUUAGCUAGUUGGCGGGGUAAAGGCCCACCAAGGCGACGAUCCGUAGCUGGUCUGAGAGGAUGAUCGGCCACACUGGAACGGAGACACGGUCCAGACUCCUACGGGAGGCAGCAGUGGGGAAUAUUGGACAAUGGGCGCAAGCCUGAUCCAGCCAUACCGCGUGGGGGAAGAAGGCCUUCGGGUUGUAAAGCCCUUUUGUUGGGAAAGAAAAGCAGCAGGUUAAUACCCCGCUGUUCUGACGGUACCCAAAGAAUAAGCACCGGCUAACUUCGUG
rnacentral:rRNA from 1 species